rnacentral:rRNA from 1 species
GACGAACGCUGGCGGCGUGCUUAACACAUGCAAGUCGAACGAUGAAGAAGAGAAACGCGAACUUCGGUUCAAAUUUCACUUCGGAUUAGUGGCAGACGGGUGAGUAACGCGUGAGCAACCUACCUCUUACAAAGGGAUAGCCUCGGGAAACCGUGAUUAAUACCAUAUGACACAUUCAUAAGGCAUCUUAAGAAUGUUAAAGCUACGGCGGUAAGAGAUGGGCUCGCGUCCCAUUAGCUAGUUGGUGAGGUAACGGCCCACCAAGGCGACGAUGGGUAACCGGCCUGAGAGGGUGAACGGUCACAUUGGAACUGAGACACGGUCCAAACUCCUACGGGAGGCAGCAGUGGGGAAUAUUGCACAAUGGAGGGAACUCUGAUGCAGCGACGCCGCGCGAGCGAUGAAGGAAUUCGUUUCGUAAAGCUCUGUUCUAUGGGAAGAAAAGGACUGUACCAUAGGAGAAAGCCCCGGCUAAAUACGU